GGCUCGUUAGCUCAGUUGGUAAGAGCAUCACACUCAAUAUCGUGAAGGUCGUGGGUUCGAAUCCCACAUGAGCCC